GAAGCAGAACGUGCGCAUUUAACCACUGUGCCACGGGGCCCACCCCAAGUCUGGCCAAGGCCGCCAGCAUCUCUGGCCGAAACGACCCCAACAGCCGGCUUCCUGGUGUCCUGCGUCCACCCUCGCCCGUUUCAGUUAUCCAUUGCUGUGAAAUAAACCACUUCAAAACCAAGUAUUAAA